rnacentral:rRNA from 1 species
UAAGGAAUAUUGGUCAAUGGGCGGAAGCCUGAACCAGCCAUGCCGCGUGCAGGAUGACUGCCCUAUGGGUUGUAAACUGCUUUUGUCCAGGAAUAAACCUAGAUACGUGUAUCUAGCUGAAUGUACUGGAAGAAUAAGGAUCGGCUAACUCCGUGCCAGCAGCCGCGGUAAUACGGAGGAUCCGAGCGUUAUCCGGAUUUAUUGGGUUUAAAGGGUGCGUAGGCGGCCUAUUAAGUCAGGGGUGAAAUACGGUGGCUCAACCAUCGCAGUGCCUUUGAUACUGAUGGGCUUGAAUCCAUUUGAAGUGGGCGGAAUAAGACAAGUAGCGGUGAAAUGCAUAGAUAUGUCUUAGAACUCCGAUUGCGAAGGCAGCUCACUAAGCUGGUAUUGACGCUGAUGCACGAAAGCGUGGGGAUCGAACAGGAUUAGAUACCCUGGUAGUCCACGCCCUAAACGAUGAUAACUCGAUGUUGGCGAUAGACAGCCAGCGUCCAAGCGAAAGCGUUAAGUUAUCCACCUGGGGAGUACGCCCGCAAGGGUGAAACUCAAAUGAAUUGACGGGG